UUUCCUUAGUGCUGGCCAUGUGUGGUCCGCAAAAUGUGGAACACACAUGGCCGAUGCACGUGUUUUUCGUAUCCGCAAUUUGUGGACCGCAAAACAUUUGCAGGCGUGUGAAUGGACCUAAAGUGUUCUGGAA